UGAUUAAAAGUUGUAUGCCAUCACGACCC
rnacentral:piRNA from 1 species